GACGAACCGUGCGAACGUUAUUCGGAAUCACUGGGCUUAAAGCGCGUGUAGGCGGGCCGGCACGUCGGUCGUUGAAAUCCCCCGGCUCAACCGGGGAAGCGGCGCCGAUACGACCGGCCUCGAGGGACGUAGGGGGGCUGGAACUUCCGGUGGAGCGGUGAAAUGCGUUGAGAUCGGAAGGAACGCCCGUGGCGAAAGCGAGCCCCUGGACGUCUACUGACGCUGAGACGCGAAAGCCAGGGGAGCGAACGGG
rnacentral:rRNA from 1 species